rnacentral:rRNA from 1 species
AAUGAACGCUGGCGGCGUGCUUAACACAUGCAAGUCGAACGCGAAAGGGGGGCUUGCUCCCUGAGUAGAGUGGCGCACGGGUGAGUAACGCGUGGGUAACCUACCCUAAUGUGGGGGUUAACUACUCGAAAGGGUGGCUAAUACCGCAUGAGAGCACGGAGUCCUCGGGCUCUGAGGCCAACGAUUGCAUCGGCUUGCCGGUGCCGUCGCACUAGGAUGGGCACGCGUACGAUUAGCUAGUUGGUGGGGUAAUGGCUCACCAAGGCUACGAUCGUUUGCUGGUCUGAGAGGAUGACCAGCCACACUGGAACUGGAACACGGUCCAGACUCCUACGGGAGGCAGCAGUGAGGAAUAUUGCGCAAUGGGGGAAACCCUGACGCAGCAACGCCGCGUGGGUGGAGAAGGCCUUCGGGUCGUAAAGCCCUUUCGGACGGGACGAACGUCAUGCGGGGAAACUCGUGUGGCUUGACGGUACCGUAAGGAGAAGCACCGGCUAACCCCGUGCCAGCAGCCGCCGUAAAAC